AAUCUUAUAGGAUAUUGAAAUACCAUACACAUGUUAAUGUACCUCAUGUGUAGGUUAUAUCUGACAGCAGGUUGUUUUGAAACCUGUCCGUCGUUUUGGCGUCAAGAGGCAGCCGCAGCACAUCAAUCAAGCUGACAAUCACCAGCUGGCUAGCUCAAAGCCUAGCUUAGUUUAGCUAGUUGUCAGAUACAUAAACGAACUAUCUAGCUAGCUAUCGUACAUUAUUGAGCGGCUUGAUUAUAUUUCAAUCCUUACGAUAUAUGAAUUAUAAUGACUAGUUAGGCAUCGUUUGAAUCCUCUGAGCUGGCCUAACUCCCGGACGGAGAGAAGAUAAGAGCAUUGGGAGUCAAGGCUCAAGACUAGUUAGCUAGCCCACAUCGAAAUUGGUAGGCUAAAAUGUACUUUACUUAGCUAGCAACCGGAAUUAUAUAUUUCCACACCACUAGUCAGUUUGAAAUGGAAUACGAAUUAACAUACUCUCAUCCGUAUGGUCAUAAUAAACUGUUAUUUUGUCAAAUAAGUCGCUUACAUGAAAGCGAGCGAACUAGCCUGCCUAGUUGGCUACCGUUAGCUUGCUAGCUAGUGAACUGUUAGGUCCAUUACAAGACUGCCAUCUUGCGUUGAUCUGAUGUAGUGUUUUCAACACCCUUUGAAAACAACCUGAGGCCUUAGCACAAAAACGAUUUAUGUUUUAAAGUAUGACGAUAUUUUACGCGGUCUAGUCAGGCUACUGAUUCAAUCCCUCCCAGUUGCUGCAAACCUAGGCAGAACCUACAAAGACUCAUGUUGUGGCAACAUCUCCCUGAAACGGCUGUCAGGUGUCAGCUGCAUAUACCAUGAUUACAUCUAACUUUGUAAUUCUAUAGAUGACUGUUACAUGAACUGGCAAGAUGUUGGACUCAGAAGAGUGUACUUUGUCCCUGGAUAACUUGUUCUUUGAGAGGCCAGUUGUCCACAAAGUAAAGCCACUUUGUCAAGAGCAGAGUUCUUGGCAGUUGGAACCCCCUCCAUCCCUCUCCCAGAUUCCAGCCACUCAGGACAUCCAAAAAGAGGCAGAGGAUCUUUCAUCAUUCAGUUUCUCUCAGAGGUCCAAGAAAUUCAUUCCCCCUUUGAAAAGAACAGUCGGCAGUGAUGGUUUCAUACAAAAGAACACAGAUGUUAAUCAAAUUACCAGUGAUGGAGGAAAAGAACCUGAGGGCCAGGGCGGGUGUGCUCUCUGGUCUCAGGAAGACUUCAUGAACAAGUCCCAGUGUUCCACAAUGGUCAGCAGAGGUCGAACUGAAACUCCACAGGAGUCUGGUCAUGCGCUGGAGCAGAAACAUUUUCCUCUGGACUUCAGCCAAAGCCCACCUGUACGGAGAAGUUUGUUCAAACCUCUCAUUGGUCAGGUGCUGAACAGUGGUGCAGACUUGAACACCCGCCACAGCCAGACAAGACCCAGAGAGCAGCAAACCUUCAACCAGGUUUCCAUGGCGACAGAGCCUCGACUGGCAAGACAGUCAGCAGCAGGCCCCAGCCCCCUCAGCGGGCUGGGUCCGGCUGCAGCCCGGGGACCCCCACCGCAUACACCGGACAAGGGCACCAAGAGGGCUAACGUCCUCCCCAUGACACCCCAGCCCCUUCAGAUACAAGGUAGUACAGCACACACAGAAAUUAUAUAUAUAUAUAUAUAUAUAUACCGUUCAAAAGUUUGGGGUCACUUAGAAAUGUCCUUGUUUUUGAAAGAAAAGCAAAUUUUUUUGUCCAUUAAAAUAACAUCAAAUUGAUCAGAAAUACAUUGUUAAUGUUGUAAAUGACUAUUGUAGCUGGAAACGGCUGGUUUUUAAUGGAAUAUCUACAUAGGCAUACAGAGGCCCAUUAUCAGCAACCAUCACUCCUGUGUUCCAAUGGCAUGUUGUGUUAGCUAAUCCAAGUUUAUCAUUUUAAAAGGCUAAUUGAUCAUUAGAAAACCCUUUUUGCAAUUAUGUUAACACGGCUGAAAACUGUUGUUCUGAUUUAAAGAAGCAAUUAAACUGGCCUUCUUUAGACUAGUUGAGUAUCUGGAGCAUCAGCGUUUGUGGGUUUGAUUACAGGGUCAAAAUGGCCA
rnacentral:lncRNA from 1 species